rnacentral:rRNA from 1 species
UACCAGCACCCCGAGUGGUCGGGACGAUUAUUGGGCCUAAAGCAUCCGUAGCCGGUCCUACAAGUCUUCCGUUAAAUCCACCUGCUUAACAGAUGGGCUGCGGAAGAUACUAUAGGGCUAGGAGGCGGGAGAGGCAAGCGGUACUCAGUGGGUAGGGGUAAAAUCCUCUGAUCCAUUGAAGACCACCAGUGGCGAAGGCGGCUUGCCAGAACGCGCUCGACGGUGAGGGAUGAAAGCUGGGGGAGCAGACCGG